UUCCUCCCUUCCCCUUCUCACUCUCUCUCUCCUUCUCACUCUCUCUCUCUUUCUCUCUCUCUCUUCCUUCCUUGUUUUCUUACCUAACCCACAUUCCCAGAAAAUGAUGUGAAUAAAGACAAGUGUUGGACCUCAAUGUGUCAAAGUUAAACUACAACUAGGAUCUGCCUUCUGAGGUAUGGCAAGAAACAAAUUGGUUAAUGUUUGCAAAAUGCCAGGACAUUCUUGAAUAAAAGGCCCUAUAUAAGUUCAAAGUAUUUACAAUUAUUAUGAUUAUUAUUAUAAUUUAUGAGAUGUCAUAAAUCUCUCCAAAAUAGGAUGAGAUGAACACUUUUAACAAGAGAACAGGACUCUAUAUAAAUCGCUGUGGGCUCACCACCUCUAAGGAGGAGCACUGACUGAAGACAGGAAAUGAAACCAAUUUCUACAACAUAGGAAUGAUUUCGGCAUGUCUAGGAGAGUCAGAGAAAAGACGGGAGGGAAAUGGGGGAGAAAGAAAAACGUGAGAGAACCUUCUACUUCCUGAAAGGCACCAUGACUCUGGAAUGGUAAGUGCACAAUUUUACCUGUUACUUUUGCAAAUCAAGAAAAGGCAAAAAAGACAAGAUGAUAUGCUCUGAUUUGUGGAAUUAGAUAAAUUAUUUGUCUGAAGAAGUGGACAAAGAAAUGGAAGUUGGAUUUUAGAUUGUUUUCAAACUAAAACUGUUCUUCAUAGCAAGCAAUGUAAGCUAGGCAUAGAAACCUUUUUCUAUUCAUCAGCCUCUAUAAGUAAAACAGAAAUAUCCAUGUUAAAAAUCUAGUAUUUUAAAAUAUAACUUUCUUUGCAAGAGUCUGCUUUUAAUUUUUAUUUUAUCAAAGAGAAUCACUUAAGUCAGAAUUCAUUUGAGCAAUCUGGCUUAAAUUGGGGAAUAGUCAACACUGGAUUGCCAUUUUAAGUUUCCAGAUUAAUACAAAAUUAGUGUCAAUAGUAUACGUUAAGCUGAAAACUUUUAUAGUCAGGAGUACGGUGAGACUCAGUUUUACCUAUUAAAUCAGUUUAAUCUGUAAAUCUGAUUUUGCCGUAAAA